rnacentral:tRNA from 1 species
AGGCUAGUAGCUCUAAUUGGUUAGAGCACCGGACUCCAAAUCCGGUGGGUAGGGGUUCGAAUCCCCUCUGGCCUGCCA